AUGUCUAGCUCGACUUCGGCCUCCCGCCAAUCAUGGACGCAGUACGGUCCACUGCCAUUGACAAGAUGCCCCGAUUGCCCGCGCAUGGAGCCUCUGAAGCAUUUGACUUGUGUGAGGGAAGAAAAUGGCAACCGUGGGCGCGAGUUUGUGAAAUGCUUGAGCAAGCCACAGCCGGGGCAGGUUCUGAAGAAAUGUGGGCAUUUUGAGUGGCUCGAUGACUAUGUUGAAAGGUUGAAAUUGAAGGGAUCAACCCGAACCCAAGAGCUCAAUUUUGGGGGGCGGCUUGCCGUGGAACAACCCCCCCAAUUUGGCGGACAGAGCCGAUCCGAUGAUGCACAGUGCAAAACUGAAGUGUAA
rnacentral:rRNA from 1 species